CCCGCGGCUCUGAGGGGGCGGAACCGAGCGCGGCGGAAGUUCCGCUGGGGCUGUCCCCGCCCCGCCGUUUCCGCUUCCGGCCUGCGCUGCGCCUGCGCUGUGGCCCGAGGGGCUGGUCGGGGCCCUGUGUGCGUUGGGACCCGGCGCGCUCAGAGGGGUCCCCCCACAGAUGCCUCCGUUCUGCGCCUCUGGAGGGGCAUCGAGGCGUAGUUCGGAGCUCGGGGGUCCCCGGCCGGAGCCCCACAGGGCCUGCGCUUGUGCCCCCCGCCGGCAGCCAUUGGCCUACAGGCUGUGUGGCCUCCGUGACCCUCCCCGUCACCCCGCUCCGCCCCCGCGGCGUCUCCCCACCCCCCCACCCCGCUCCCCCGCGCAGUGCCCCCCACGCCCCCUGCGGCGGAACCCUCCGACCGCACGUCCCCUCCCCCCCGCAGCACCCCCACGGUCCCCGGGCCCGGAGGAAUCACACAGCAGGGAGGGCCGAGGGCCUGGGGUGCCCCAGGUUUAUUAGUGUCGCAUCAGCACCUUAGAAUAGUCCGCGCGGUCGCAUACGUGACAGGUCAGACUCUGUCCCCGAAAAGGCUAUUUACAUGAAUCCUGUUUUCCACGUGGAAGGGAAAAGAGCCCGAGCAACACGCACGUCCUAGAGACCGAGCAGUGCGGGGAACAGAACCGGUCUGCACAGACGGGGCACCCCCUCGCCAUAGCGCUAGGCCCCCGCGGAGGCCGCCCUGCCCGUAGACUCCUGCGCCCAUGGAGGCCGGCCUGGGAGCUCAGGCAGCUGACCCCAGAAGCGGGGGCCCCGUCUGCUAAAGAGGAACCUGCUCCAGGACAAAGGCCAGACCCUGAGAGCAGUCUGGUCUCCCACCUGGGGGCGAGGACACUGCGGCAAGGCGGUCCCCGGCCACUCCCUGCGACACAGCCAUGACACGGACUCAGGACACUGGCUGGCAUGCCCUGAGGACACAGUGACCCUGGGGGAGAGCACGGGAGGAGUGAGGAGGCGGUGGGACCCCACCUGGCCUGGGCCUUGCCCAGUGGUGAUGGGUGGCUUGCCCCUUGAGUCCCAGGUUACAUCUGGUUGCCCAAUGGGCUGAGAACACUUGGUCUGAGGGGACUGCUUCUGCCUGGGACCCCGAGCCCCGUGCUGACCGCUGCACUCUGGCUCCGUCACAGAUGGUUUUGGCUUCUGAGUCAUCUUCCUUGGAGGGACAAAGUGCUUUUCCAUGGAUCCUCAGAAUAGCUCCAUGAGGUAGGCAGGGGAAACAGGACCCUCCCUGUUUAGCCACUGGGGAAGCUGAGGCACAGGUCAGUUCUGCAGGUAGAAAGUGAAGUCAGGAGUCUCACCUGUCCCUCCUUCCUGCUGAGUCACUUUUGGAAAGGAACCUUGAGGACCAGUGACCAAGGCCCUGAGGCCCAGCAGCGGGAACAGGGCAGGGAGGCUCAAGGUCCCAGGGCCUGCUUCUGAGGGGCACUCCCGACGGGAGGCCGGCCUUCAGCGUCCAGCCACCCAGCUCUGUGCCUGCGCACACAGGCACCCGUGGAUCUGUGCGGCCACCCGCCUGACCCCAGCUCCCUGAGGAAGCAGAGUCCUGGCUUUCAGGAAGGACAGGACGCGAAGGUGAGGACCCUUCUUGCUGGGGGGGCUCGGGAGGUCCUGAGGCUGGAACACACCUCGUGGUUCUCCAAGCUCAGUGCUGCCCGCCCGACCUCCCCACGCCUCCCCCGCCCCCCCUGGCACAUCUGGUUAAAGGCAGAGCAGUUAAUGGGCUCCAGGGGUGGGGGCUCCUGGCGAGUUUCCGGGUGGAGAGCACAUUCAUACUUAAGACUGUUUUUCUUUGUGUUUUUAAGGGUCUCUGUAGUAAACUGAAAUGUUAACAGAAAAGCAGCUGGGCCCUCCCGGCGCUCGCCGUCCAGGGCUUCGGGGCAGGGCUAGCAGGCGGACUUGGAGUGUCCGAAGAUGCAGAUGGGGAAGUGCUUCACGUGGGAGGACCACUGGGCCGCCAGCUGGAAGAACUUCACGUCGUUCCACUCCACACCGUCGAUGAGGACUGUGAGGACAAGACCACCUGACCCGCCUGCCCACCGUGCCCCGGCUCCCCCAGGGACCCCAGGCGCCUGUGAGGCACGCGCCGGCUAGUCCUCCCACCGCCAUCCACAGCCCCGCAGCCCCUGCAGGGGUGUGCUGGGUCAAACACCCUCCGCUUAAACUGGAAAAGCCACGGAGGAAGGCAGAGCCGUUCUCGACCACGGUGGUCAUCAGACUCAGACUCAUGAAGAGAAAACCGUUCUGGGCUCCGUUUUCUGAAUUAACGAGUUGCAGAAAAUCUUCUAUAAAAGGUCUAAGAUAUAAAAAUCAAUCUUAAAAGAAGG